rnacentral:rRNA from 1 species
GACGAACGCUGGCGGCGUGCCUAAUACAUGCAAGUAGAACGCACAGUUUAUACCGUAGCUUGCUACACCAUAGACUGUGAGUUGCGAACGGGUGAGUAACGCGUAGGUAACCUGCCUGGUAGCGGGGGAUAACUAUUGGAAACGAUAGCUAAUACCGCAUAAUAUUAAUUAUUGCAUGAUAAUUAAUUGAAAGGUGCAAUUGCACCACUACCAGAUGGACCUGCGUUGUAUUAGCUAGUAGGUGAGGUAACGGCUCACCUAGGCGACGAUACAUAGCCGACCUGGGAGGGUGAUCGGCAACACUGGGACUGAGACACGGCCCAGACUCCUACGGGAGGCAGCAGUAGGGAAGCUUCGGCAAUGGACGAAAGUCUGACCGAGCAACGCCGCGUGAGUGAAGAAGGUUUUCGGAUCGUAAAGCUCUGUUGUAAGAGAAGAACGGGUGUGAGAGUGGAAAGUUCACACUGUGACGGUAUCUUACCAGAAAGGGACGGCUAACUACGUG